UACGGAGGGUGCGAGCGUUGUCCGGAAUCAUUGGGCGUAAAGAGCGUGUAGGCGGUCCGGUAAGUCGGCUGUGAAAGCCCCCGGCUCAACUGGGGAGGGUCACGCGAUACUGGUCGACUCGAAGGCAGGAGAGGGUAGUGGAAUUCCCGGUGUAGUGGUGAAAUGCGUAGAUAUCGGGAGGAACACCAGUGGCGAAGGCGACUACCUGGCCUGUUCUUGACGCUGAGGCGCGAAAGCUAGGGGAGCAAACGGG
rnacentral:rRNA from 1 species